rnacentral:rRNA from 1 species
GACGAACGCUGGCGGCGUGCUUAACACAUGCAAGUCGAACGGAAAGGCCCUGCUUUUGUGGGGUGCUCGAGUGGCGAACGGGUGAGUAACACGUGAGUAACCUGCCCUUGACUUUGGGAUAACUUCAGGAAACUGGGGCUAAUACCGGAUAGGAGCUCCUGCUGCAUGGUGGGGGUUGGAAAGUUUCGGCGGUUGGGGAUGGACUCGCGGCUUAUCAGCUUGUUGGUGGGGUAGUGGCUUACCAAGGCUUUGGCGGGUAGCCGGCCUGAGAGGGUGACCGGCCACAUUGGGACUGAGAUACGGCCCAGACUCCUACGGGAGGCAGCAAUGGGGAAUAUUGCACAAUGGGCGGAAGCCUGAUGCAGCAACGCCGCGUGCGGGAUGACGGCCUUCGGGUUGUAAACCGCUUUCGCCUGUGACGAAGCGUGAGUGACGGUAAUGGGUAAAGAAGCACCGGCUAACUACGUG